rnacentral:rRNA from 1 species
UGGGGAAUAUUGCACAAUGGGGGAAACCCUGAUGCAGCGACGCCGCGUGAGUGAAGAAGUAUUUCGGUAUGUAAAGCUCUAUCAGCAGGGAAGAAAAAAGACGGUACCUGACUAAGAAGCCCCGGCUAACUACGUGCCAGCAGCCGCGGUAAUACGUAGGGGGCAAGCGUUAUCCGGAUUUACUGGGUGUAAAGGGAGCGUAGACGGCAAAGCAAGUCUGAAGUGAAAGGUCGGGGCUUAACCCCGGAACUGCUUUGGAAACUGUUAUGCUAGAGUGCUGGAGAGGUAAGUGGAAUUCCUAGUGUAGCGGUGAAAUGCGUAGAUAUUAGGAGGAACACCAGUGGCGAAGGCGGCUUACUGGACAGUAACUGACGUUGAGGCUCGAAAGCGUGGGGAGCAAACAGG